rnacentral:rRNA from 1 species
AUUGAACGCUGGCGGCAUGCCUUACACAUGCAAGUCGAACGGCAGCACGGGAGCAAUCCUGGUGGCGAGUGGCGAACGGGUGAGUAAUACAUCGGAACGUGCCCAAUCGUGGGGGAUAACGCAGCGAAAGCUGUGCUAAUACCGCAUACGAUCUACGGAUGAAAGCAGGGGACCGCAAGGCCUUGCGCGAAUGGAGCGGCCGAUGGCAGAUUAGGUAGUUGGUGGGGUAAAGGCUAACCAAGCCAACGAUCUGUAGCUGGUCUGAGAGGACGACCAGCCACACUGGGACUGAGACACGGCCAAGACUCCUACGGGAGGCAGCAGUGGGGAAUUUUGGACAAUGGGCGCAAGCCUGAUCCAGCCAUGCCGCGUGCAGGAUGAAGGCCUUCGGGUUGUAAGCUGCUUUUGUACGGAACGAAACGGCCUUUUCUAAUAAAGAGGGCUAAUGACGGUACCGUAAGAAUAAGCACCGGCUAACUACGUG